rfam:Paenibacillus sp. Y412MC10, complete genome.
GGUUAAGCUACUAAGAGCACACGGAGGAUGCCUAGGCGCUAGGAGCCGAAGAAGGACGUGGCGAACAACGAUACUGCCUCGGGGAGCUGUAAGCAAGCUUCGAUCCGGGGAUGUCCGAAUGGGGAAACCCAGCUAGUGUAAUAGCUAGUUACCCGUAUCUGAAUACAUAGGAUGCGAGGAGGCAUACCCAGGGAACUGAAACAUCUAAGUACCUGGAGGAAGAGAAAACAAGAGUGAUUCCGUCAGUAGCGGCGAGCGAACGCGGAACAGCCUAAACCAGAGAGCUUGCUCUCUGGGGUUGUGGGACGUCUCACAUGGAGUUACAAAGGAAUGUAUUAGGCGAAGAGGUCUGGAAAGGCCCGCUAUAAGAGGUAAAAGCCCUGUAGCCGAAAGUAUAUUCCCUCCGAGACGGAUCCCGAGUAGUGCGGGGCACGUGAAACCCCGUAUGAAUCCAGCAGGACCAUCUGCUAAGGCUAAAUACUCCCUAGCGACCGAUAGUGAAGCAGUACCGUGAGGGAAAGGUGAAAAGCACCCCGGAAGGGGAGUGAAAUAGAACCUGAAACCGUGUGCUUACAAGAAGUCAGAGCCCUAUUUAUGGGUGAUGGCGUGCCUUUUGUAGAAUGAACCGGCGAGUUACGUUCCCAUGCAAGGUUAAGGCGAGAAGCCGUAGCCGCAGCGAAAGCGAGUCUGAAUAGGGCGACUUAGUAUGUGGGCGUAGACCCGAAACCGUGUGAUCUACCCCUGUCCAGGGUGAAGGUGCGGUAACACGCACUGGAGGCCCGAACCCACGUAUGUUGAAAAAUGCGGGGAUGAGGUGGGGGUAGCGGAGAAAUUCCAAUCGAACUCGGAGAUAGCUGGUUCUCCCCGAAAUAGCUUUAGGGCUAGCCUCGGAAUGAAGAGUCGUGGAGGUAGAGCACUGAUUGGGUGCGGGGCCCGCAAGGGUUACCAAGCUCAGUCAAACUCCGAAUGCCAUAGACUUAUAUCCGGGAGUCAGACAGUGAGUGCUAAGAUCCAUUGUCAAAAGGGAAACAGCCCAGACCAUCAGCUAAGGUCCCCAAGUGUGUGUUAAGUGGGAAAGGAUGUGGAGUUGCACAGACAACCAGGAUGUUGGCUUAGAAGCAGCCACCAUUUAAAGAGUGCGUAAUAGCUCACUGGUCGAGUGACUCUGCGCCGAAAAUGUAACGGGGCUAAACACACCACCGAAGCUAUGGCUUGAUGCGUAUGCAUCAGGGGUAGGGGAGCGUUGUAUGUAGGUUGAAGGUGUACCGUAAGGAGCGCUGGACAGCAUACAAGUGAGAAUGCCGGUAUGAGUAACGAAAAGAUCAGUGAGAAUCUGAUCCGCCGAAAGCCCAAGGUUUCCUGAGGAAGGCUCGUCCGCUCAGGGUAAGUCGGGACCUAAGGUGAGGCCGAAAGGCGUAAUCGAAGGACAACAGGUUGAAAUUCCUGUACCACCGUAAACCGUUAUGAACGAUGGGGUGACGCAGGAGGGUAGUGACGCGGACUGAUGGAUGUCCGUCCAAGCAGUGAGGCUGAUGUGUAGGCAAAUCCGCACAUCGUAAGGCUGGGCUGUGAUGGGGAGUGAAAAUUAUAGUAGCGAAGGUCAUGAUCUCACACUGCCAAGAAAAGCCUCUAGUCAGGUGAAGGUGCCCGUACCGCAAACCGACACAGGUAGGCGAGAAGAGAAUUCUAAGGCGCGCGGAAGAACUCUCGUUAAGGAACUCGGCAAAAUGACCCCGUAACUUCGGGAGAAGGGGUGCCUCGGUAGGGUGAAUAGCCCGAGGGGGCCGCAGUGAAAAGGCCCAAGCGACUGUUUAGCAAAAACACAGGUCUGUGCGAAGCCGUAAGGCGAAGUAUACGGGCUGACGCCUGCCCGGUGCUGGAAGGUUAAGGGGAGCGGUUAGGAGCAAUCCGAAGCUGUGAACCGAAGCCCCAGUAAACGGCGGCCGUAACUAUAACGGUCCUAAGGUAGCGAAAUUCCUUGUCAGGUAAAUUCUGACCCGCACGAAUGGCGUAACGACUUGGGCGCUGUCUCAACGAGAGAUCCGGUGAAAUUUUAAUACCUGUGAAGAUGCAGGUUACCCGCGACAAGACGGAAAGACCCCAUGGAGCUUUACUGCAGCUUGAUAUUGGAUUUGGGUACGAUCUGUACAGGAUAGGUGGGAGCCUUUGAAGCAUGAGCGCCAGCUUGUGUGGAGGCGACGUUGGGAUACCACCCUGAUCGUAUCUAGGUUCUAACCUGGUACCGUGAUCCGGUACGGGGACAGUGUCAGGCGGGCAGUUUGACUGGGGCGGUCGCCUCCUAAAGAGUAACGGAGGCGCCCCAAGGUUCCCUCAGAAUGGUUGGAAAUCAUUCGAAGAGUGCAAAGGCAUAAGGGAGCUUGACUGCGAGACCUACAAGUCGAGCAGGGACGAAAGUCGGGCUUAGUGAUCCGGUGGUACCGCAUGGAAGGGCCAUCGCUCAACGGAUAAAAGCUACCCUGGGGAUAACAGGCUUAUCUCCCCCAAGAGUCCACAUCGACGGGGAGGUUUGGCACCUCGAUGUCGGCUCAUCGCAUCCUGGGGCUGAAGUAGGUCCCAAGGGUUGGGCUGUUCGCCCAUUAAAGCGGUACGCGAGCUGGGUUCAGAACGUCGUGAGACAGUUCGGUCCCUAUCUGUCGUGGGCGUAGGAAAUUUGAGAGGAGCUGUCCUUAGUACGAGAGGACCGGGAUGGACGUACCGCUGGUGCACCAGUUGUUCCGCCAGGAGCAUGGCUGGGUAGCUACGUACGGACGGGAUAAGCGCUGAAAGCAUCUAAGCGUGAAGCCCCCCUCAAGAUGAGAUUUCCCAAUUCGUAAGACCCCUUGAAGACGACGAGGUAGAUAGGUUGGAGGUGGAAGUGCAGCAAUGCAUGGAGCUGACCAAUACUAAUCGGUCGAGGGCUUAUCCAA